rnacentral:rRNA from 1 species
AGUGGAACAUGUGGUUCAAUUCGACGCUACGCGAAGAACCUCACCAGGGUUUGACAUAUAGGUAGUAGGAACCUGAAAGGGAGACGACUCGUUAAGCCGAGUGCCUAUACAGGUGUUGCAUGGCUGUCGUCAGCUCGUGCCGUGAGGUGUUGGGUUAAGUCCCGCAACGAGCGCAACCCUUGCCAUUAGUUGUCAGCGAGUCAUGUCGGAUACUCUAAUGGGACUGCCGGUGACGAGCCGGAGGAAGGUGGGGAUGACGUCAAGUCAGCAUGGCCUUUAUGUCCAGGGCCACACACGUGCUACAAUGGACGGUACAGAGGGACGCAAGACCGCAAGAUGGAGCAAAUCCUCAAAACCGUUCUCAGUUCGGAUUGUAGGCUGCAAUUCGCCUACAUGAAGUUGGAAUCGCUAGUAAUCCCGGAUCAGCAUGCCGGGGUGAAUACGUUCCCGGGCCUU